UGCCCAAGAGAUCGGGAUAACACCUGGAAACAGAUGCUAAUACCGGAUAACAACAGAUGAUGCCUAUCAACUGUUUAAAAGAUGGUUCUGCUAUCACUCUUGGAUGGACCUGCGGUGCAUUAGCUAGUUGGUAGAGUAACGGCCUACCAAGGCGAUGAUGCAUAGCCGAGUUGAGAGACUGAUCGGCCACAUUGGGACUGAUACACGGCCCAAACUCCUACGGGAGGCAGCAGGC
rnacentral:rRNA from 1 species